GACGAGGGUCCAAGGCGUUGCUCGGAAUUAUUGGCGUAAAGCGAGUGUAGGUGGCUUUGUAAGUCAGGAGUGAAAGCCCCGGGCCUAACCCGGGAAGUGCUUUGAUACUGCAGAGCUUGAAUGUGGGAGAGGAUCGUGGAAUUCCAGGUGUAGUGGUGAAAUACGGUAGAUAUCUGGAGGAACACCGGUGGACGAAGGCGGUUCUCUGGGCCUUACCUGACGCUGAGGAGCGAAAGCGUGGGGAGCGAACAGG
rnacentral:rRNA from 1 species